GAUCUAGCCCCUAGAUGGCUUCCGCAGAUUCCUUCAUGCACCUCCCACAAGGCGUAGUCAGCUUCCGAAGGCCGGAGAUAUUUUAAAAGGGGCAAAGAGUAUGAUCUCUUGUAUAACUUGUCCUCAUAAAGGAUGUAUCAGGAGGCUUGAUUUUUGAGCUUUCGAGCUUCUUUUGCAUCAUGUGGGAGAACCCCGUCUCUG
rnacentral:lncRNA from 1 species